CCUUAUAGACCCAAAUUUUAAGUUCCCGUGAAAGCUAAAUUCCAUGUUAGCAUGAUACCAUCAGUGAUUGCAGUAGAAGGAAUUUCAUUUCAGAAAUGUUAACUCUAAAAUUUAUUUUCCCACUAAAUAAAAAUAACGUGUGACUACAGCUUUUAUAUACUGAAACUCUGAAAGCAGUGUGGAACACAGCUGCUUGUCAUAUUUCUGUAAGUCAUGAGGACAUACAACAUAAUACACUAAAAUCAGCAUUUGUUACUUGAUUUUCUUGGUAUGGAUUAUGGUACUGGAAGAGAAGUAUAGAGUAAAACUCUUAGAAAUCCCAUCUGUGUUUUUGAUAACAUUCUGGAACAAGUUCAGUGGCGAUCUUAAGAUCCAUAUGGAUCUUAUUAUAGUCUUUCUUGCUAUGGGACUCUGUGAAUUGAGGUUUGUGCCCAGUGCACCGUGCCAAUAAGCACACAGAGUUGGAAUCCACACAAAAGUCUUCUUCGAGGCUUCAUCUUCAAGGCUUCAUCUUCAGUGGCUGUCCAUCUCUUUCCUGCAUUAACCAGUCUGUACACCAGUCUGAUGAUGGUACCUUGGGUAAGUUUUUUUUUUUUCUUUUUUUUUCUCUUUGUGGUUAUCUUUGCCAUCCUUAUAGGGUCAUUUCACUUUCAGAAAGCCCUCCACACCUUUCAGUGUCUUUCUGAACAACAUUACUUCAUUUGAAAUCUAUGCUUAGAACUAGUUCAUUGUAUGAAACAGUCAUGAUAGUAAUUCGUCCAGGGGAAAUUGCUUUUCCAAAGGUGGAGAAGUUAAUUAAGUGUAUAACAGGAGGAAGCUAAACCUUACUAAUUAGUGAGAAGGGUAACGAUUAUGGGAGAGAACGGAUGACACUUGGCUGAAGACGAACUCAAGAAAUUGCUUUAGCCAAAAGGAAGUUAGAAGAGUGAAUAGAAGAUGAGCUUUAAGAAAGCAAAGACUGUCGCUGUGUCCUGAUAAAUUAUACCUCAUUUAUAGUGUGUCUGCUAGAUGUUAAUCAAUAAUACGUCGGGAUGAUCCUUCACUCUUAGGCACGUAGCCUGCUCUCUGUUUUAUAGAAUUUCACUUAAAUCCUUUGGGUUCUCUCCCUGGGAGGAUGUACUAAAUGAAAGGGUAGCAACUCUUACACACAACUGUAAGAAUGUUUACAGGGGUUCUGAACUUCUGCAGUGAAGAAAGGGCAGCACCAGAGCUUGGCUCUGCUAGCCCCUUGGAAAGGCAAGGACAGUUGAUCCUGGCAGGCCUACUGACAGUGAAUUGUACAGCCAUAGCACCCAUAUCAUAGCAAAAUCAGAUGCCAAAAUAUUGGCUUCAGAUUGCUCAUCUCUUACACUGCUG
rnacentral:lncRNA from 1 species